rnacentral:rRNA from 1 species
UGGGUAACCUGCCUCAAAGAGGGGUAAUAGCCUCCCGAAAGGGAGAUUAAUACCGCAUAAUAUGUUUAAGUCGCAUGACUUUAACAUCCAAAGGAUUUUUCUUUUAGAAAUUCC